CAAAAUGCAUGUUUUUCUUGCUUUCGGCAACACCACCAUCUUCUGAUUUUCCAGGACAGAUAAUCAUAUCCAUUUUUUGACUGUCUGCUGGCUAUAUGCUGAUGAGUCUCAAAUAAAGAAGAAAACAUUUGGAUCAAAGAAACAGCAAAGAUGGGAGCCAUCAACACCUUUGAGCAAUGAAGAGGGAUUACAAGGACCAGUAGGGAGGAAGAAGAUAACUGUGUAAAAGAGAAAUGUAUGUACAACUACAGAGGCCUUUCGCUGGGAGCCAUUCAUCUGCCUCCUCACUGAAUAUAGGAACCAGACCAACUUGCCCACAGACAAUGUUGACAAAAUGAAACUGUGGGUGAAGAUGUUCUCCCACCAAGUGCAGAAGAAUCUGGCUUUGAGGCCUGGCCUGGGCUAUCUAGAAGGAAGUGACUACCAGCCUGGCCUAUCUGCCUGAAUGGAAGGAAAAUAUUAUGAAAUUAUGUCCCUCACACAGAUGCCCCACUGAAAUUGAAGUCGAGAAGUGCAAAAAAGAAUUGACACAUCUCAGCAAAGAAAUUGGAAUUGAUUUCAUGAUAACUGAAGAAGAUCUCAACACAUUUCUGGAAGAGAGACUGUGGAUGCAGUGUGAUAGUGAAUAAAAGAGUGAAGGUA